rnacentral:rRNA from 1 species
UACGAAGGGGCUAGCGUUGCUCGGAAUCACUGGGCGUAAAGGGUGCGUAGGCGGGUCUUUAAGUCAGGGUGAAAUCCUGGAGCUCAACUCCAGAACUGCCUUUGAUACUGAGGAUCUUGAGUUCGGGAGAGGUGAGCGGAACUGCGAGUGUAGAGGUGAAAUUCGUAGAUAUUCGCAAGAACACCAGUGGCGAAGGCGGCUCACUGGCCCGAUACUGACGCUGAGGCACGAAAGCGUGGGUAGCAAACAGG